rnacentral:tRNA from 1 species
CACGGGAAAUGGUCGGGAUAGCUCAGUUGGUAGAGCA